CCCUACGGGAGGCAGCAGUGGGGAAUAUUGGGCAAUGGGCGAAAGCCUGACCCAGCGACGCCGCGUGGGUGAUGAAGGCCUUCGGGUUGUAAAGCCCUUUCGUGCGGAAAGAACUGUUCCGCGGUUAAUACCCGCGGAAUUUGACGGUACCGCAGGAAGAAGCACCGGCUAACUCCGUGCCAGCAGCCGCGGUAAUACGGAGGGUGCAAGCGUUGUUCGGAAUUAUUGGGCGUAAAGGGCGCGUAGGCGGUUGCGUAAGUCAGAUGUGAAAUACUUCGGCUUAACCGAAGAACUGCAUUUGAAACUGCACAGCUAGAGUACAGGAGAGGGAAAUGGAAUUCCCGGUGUAGAGGUGAAAUUCGUAGAUAUCGGGAGGAACACCAGUGGCGAAGGCGAUUUCCUGGCCUGAUACUGACGCUGAGGCGCGAAAGCGUGGGGAGCAAACAGGAUUAGAUACCCUAGUAGUCC
rnacentral:rRNA from 1 species